GAUCCUAAUAAUUUGCUACUACAAUAAAUAAGGGAUUCCAACAAAUACCCACUACUUGGGAUGGAUGGAAUAUGCAAUCAUGAGUAGAAUGUUCCUAGAGACCCUUUAUGAUGGGGGGUAUUAGUUUUACUUACUAAAAGAAAAUAUUAAGCAAGGCAAAAGAAAAAUGAAAUAAGAGAAAGGGAAAUCGUUUUUUUUUCUUAUGAUAAAAAUUGUCCUAUACCCUAACUCUAGAUUUCCCAACUCUAAACUUACAUCCUCUUUUCUUCUCCCCAUUCAUUCAAGAAGGACUAGAUGAGAUAUGGAAAAUGAAGUUGCAUUAAUUGUUAGGAGUUUAAGAAUUGAAUGCAAAAUCAUUAUAUAUUAUAGUUCAGUUACCUAAGACGAUGCAUGUUAAGUGAAAAAAAAAAGGAGAUGAAGUACAUCAAGAUAAAAAACUGAAAAACAUCAAACCAAUACCCAAAGGAGAACCCAAAACAAUUACAACAAGAACUGAACAACAAAGGACCAAAACAAAAUCAUGCUCAAAGAAGGAGACAUCGAAAUGGUAGCUUAGCAAAAUUUAAACAGAUGCAAGAGGCUGCAAUAACCAUAAAACAGAACUAGAAGAGACCAAGCAUAUGCCUCUAAAUUUCUGCAUUUUUGAUGGCAAGAAUCAGUUCCCAACAUUGAAACAAAAUGCGUAAGCUGAAAUUGAAUACCAGAAAAAGUCUCCAAAGCUACGGAGAGAAUGGAGCAAAAACCAAAGACUGCUAAGAAUAGUAAAUUCUAAGCACAGAAAAUCAAAGGUUGCAAACUUUUGACAAUAAGACACAAACCCAGCAGAAAAAUGCCAUAAACAAAGACUAGCAUUAGCAUAAAGGCAUGCACAACAAUGGAUCGAAGCACAUAUUGACGAUCAUGAAAAUUCCCAAUCAAAUCCAACAAAUCAACAACAUAUCAGAACAUGCCUGGCCAUAAUUCCAACAUAAUAGUUAUUGAAGCUAAACAAUGAAUUUCUUAGGGAUAUGAAUAUCUUCCUUUGCCAAAGAGUCGGCCACAAAAUUGGUUUCUCUUAGAGAAAAGAUAAAUGAUACAGGAGGUAAUGAUUCCAAAUUGCAGCUAAUUAAAUUGAUAAAGUAUUUAACCUCCAAGGUAUAAGAUUCUAAUUUAACACCCAUGAAAUUGUUACUUUGGAAUAAUCUAGUUGUCA
rnacentral:misc_RNA from 1 species